AGGUGCGAAAAGCGUGGGGGAGCAAACCAGGAUUAGAUACCCUGGUAGUCCACGCCGUAAACGAUGUCGACUUGGAGGUUGUGCCCUUGAGGCGUGGCUUCCGGAGCUAACGCGUUUAAGUCGACCGCCUGGGGAGUACGGCCGCAAGGUUAAAACUCAAAUGAAUUGACGGGGGCCCGCACAAGCGGUGGAGCAUGUGGUUUAAUUCGAUGCAACGCGAAGAACCUUACCUACUCUUGACAUCCAGAGAACUUUCCAGAGAUGGAUUGGUGCCUUCGGGAACUUUGAGACAGGUGCUGCAUGGCUGUCGUCAGCUCGUGUUGUGAAAUGUUGGGUUAAGUCCCGCAACGAGCGCAACCCUUAUCCUUUGUUGCCAGCGGUUAGGCCGGGAACUCAAAGGAGACUGCCAGUGAUAAACUGGAGGAAGGUGGGGAUGACGUCAAGUCAUCAUGGCCCUUACGAGUAGGGCUACACACGUGCUACAAUGGCGCAUACAAAGAGAAGCGACCUCGCGAGAGCAAGCGGACCUCAUAAAGUGCGUCGUAGUCCGGAUUGGAGUCUGCAACUCGACUCCAUGAAGUCGGAAUCGCUAGUAAUCGUAGAUCAGAAUGCUACGGUGAAUACGUUCCCGGGCCUUGUACACACCG
rnacentral:rRNA from 1 species